AUUGAACGCUGGCGGCAUGCCUUACACAUGCAAGUCGAACGGCAGCGCGGACUUCGGUCUGGCGGCGAGUGGCGAACGGGUGAGUAAUACAUCGGAACGUACCCUGUUGUGGGGGAUAACUAGUCGAAAGAUUAGCUAAUACCGCAUACGACCUGAGGGUGAAAGUGGGGGACCGCAAGGCCUCACGCAGCAGGAGCGGCCGAUGUCUGAUUAGCUCGUUGGUGGGGUAAAGGCCCACCAAGGCGACGAUCAGUAGAUGGUCGGAGAGGACGAUCAGCCACAAUGGGACGUGGACACGGCACAGACUCCUACGGGAGGCAUCAGUGGGUAAUUGUGGGCACGUGGGGCAACCCUGAUCCAGCAAUGCCGCGUGUGUGAAGAAGGCCUUCGGGUUGUAAAGCACUUUUGUCCUGGAAGAAAUCGCGCUGGUUAAUACCUGGCGUGGAUGACGGUACCGGAAGAAUAAGCACCGGCUAACUACGUGCCAGCCGCCGCAGUAA
rnacentral:rRNA from 1 species